rnacentral:rRNA from 1 species
UGCAUUUCAAUAAGCGGAGGAAAAGAAACUAACAAGGAUUCCCCUAGUAACGGCGAGUGAAGAGGGAAGAGCCCAAGAUUGAAAGCUGGCGUCUUCGGCGUCCGCAUUGUAAUCUCAAGAAGUGUUUUCCGCUUCGGACCAUGCCUAAGUCCCUUGGAAAAGGGCAUCAUAGAGGGUGAUAAUCCCGUACAUGGCAUGGAGCGCCCGAAGCUUUGUGAUACGCUUUCUACGAGUCGAGUUGUUUGGGAAUGCAGCUCAAAAUGGGUGGUAAAUGCCAUCUAAGGCUAAAUAUUGGGGAGAGACCGAUAGCGAACAAGUACAGUGAUGGAAAGAUGAAAAGAACUUUGAAAAGAGAGUUAAACAGUACGUGAAAUUGCCAAAAGGGAAGGGUAGGAGGUCAGAGAUGCGUCUUGGGAUUCAGCCUUGCUUUUUCGCUUGGUGUUUUUCCCAAGUUGCAGGCCAACGUCGGUUUUGGGCACUGGAGAAGGGUGGGAGGAACGUGGCACCUCUCGGGGUGUGUUAUAGCCUCCUACUGGAUACAGCGACCGAGACCGAGGACAGCAGCGUACUCGCAAGAGCGGGCCUUCGGGCACCUUUACGCUUAGGGCGUUGGCAUAAUGGCCCUCUACCACCCGUCUUGAAACA